UCCCAAUAAAAGAAGUGAAUGCUAAUUAGAGAUUUGUUUCACUCUCUGAAUAUUAUAUUAAAUACUUUACAUUGAAUAUCUUUUGUACAUCUUUGCACAUUUAAUUUUCCUGUAAAUACAAUAACAUUUACCGCCCAUCAAUAAUAUUUUACAUCCUAACCUCUUCAAAAAGCCACACAACAAAUCUUAUAACACGAUUAAUUACAAUACCAUUCCCCAAUAGGUACAUUACAGAUAAACAACGGAUUUUUAUAUUACAUUUAGGGGUACAAAAAUCUACAGACUGUAUAUAAUCCAGAAAAAUAAUAAAAUAUCCAAUGCUCUGUCCAAAGUAUUCUUUUUUAAUUUUUAUUGGAUGAAACAAAUUUCUAUGUGCACAAGAUUAGGUGAUUCACCCAGAGUACAAAGAAAGGGUGGAGGUGGGGUUAAGGUGGAGGUAUCGCGUUGCCGUCACGGGCACGUCGACCCGUGCUUUGUCCACGUGACAGCGAUAGGGCCCAUUUAUGUCGAGAACACACACUCCACGCCAACGUUAUAAUGGAGGAUAAAUCCAGCCGAAAAGACCACAAUACAUACAUCGUUCCGUCGUAGCAUUAACCGGUAAGCUACCGGAUAUUAUCGGUUCUAUGUGGAUGGUUUUAUAUAUUUCUGUAUGUACGUUUGGAUGUGUAUGUAUAUAACGUAAAUUGUAUAGUAUAGGGAAUGUAAUAUUUUUAGCAUGGCGUGAUGAAAGAAAAGUUUUAG